rfam:Fermentimonas caenicola genome assembly, chromosome: chrI
GCAUAAUGGAGCGAGAGACCAUUUCAAAAAACCGCGUUAGUCCGAAAAACGAUAAAAGUAGGAUAAAC